CAGUAGCCGCGGGAAUACGGAGGGUGCAAGCGUUAAUCGGAAUUAUUGGGCGUAAAGGGUGCGUAGGCGGUUUGGCAAGUCUUGUGUGAAAUCUUCGGGCUCAACCCGAAGCCUGCACGAGAAACUGCCGGGCUUGAGUAUUGGAGAUGUGAGUGGAAUUUCCGGUGUAGCGGUGAAAUGCGUAGAUAUCGGAAGGAACACCUGUGGCGAAAGCGGCUCACUGGACCAUAACUGACGCUGAGGCGCGAAAGCUAGGGGAGCAAACAGGAUUAGAGACCCCGGUAGUCCCUGUCUCUUAUAC
rnacentral:rRNA from 1 species